AGAUUUUACAACAAAUGCCAAUUGCAUAUUCAUCAGUACACAGAGAAUGCAACAGUCUGAUGGACGACGAUUUUCAUGAUCUGGUCUUCUUAAUUAAAUUGUAAAAUGCCAAGACGUCUGCUACAGUACAAAGUUCGCCAAAAUAUAUAUGAAUUAUAAAAACAACAAAACACAGCUAAACACAAGCAUACGCGCAUAAAUAUACAAAAGCAUGUUUUUAAUUUAACUAAAUAAUAUCCAUUUCUUCGCCAAUUGUGCAAAUUAAAUCAAUAA